rnacentral:rRNA from 1 species
GAUGAACGCUGGCGGCGUGCCUAAUACAUGCAAGUCGAGCGAACGGACGAGAAGCUUGCUUCUCUGAUGUUAGCAGCGGACGGGUGAGUAACACGUGGAUAACCUACCUAUAAGACUGGGAUAACUUCGGGAAACCGGAGCUAAUACCGGAUAAUAUUUUGAACCGCAUGGUUCAAAAGUGAAAGACGGUCUUGAUGUCACUUAUAGAUGGAUCCGCGCUGCAUUAGCUAGUUGGUAAGGUAACGGCUUACCAAGGCAACGAUGCAUAGCCGACCUGAGAGGGGGAUCGGCCACACGGGAACUGAGACACGGUCCAGACCCCUACGGGAGGCAGCAGUAGGGAAUCUUCCGCAAUGGGCGAAAGCCUGACGGAGCAACGCCGCGUGAGUGAUGAAGGUCUUCGGAUCGUAAAACUCUGUUAUUAGGGAAGAACAUAUGUGUAAGUAACUGUGCACAUCUUGACGGUACCUAAUCAGAAAGCCACGGCUAACUACGUG